rnacentral:rRNA from 1 species
GAUGAACGCUGGCGGCGUGCCUAAUACAUGCAGGUCGAGCGAACGGACGAGAAGCUUGCUUCUCUGAUGUUAGCGGCGGACGGGUGAGUAACACGUGGAUAACCUACCUAUAAGACUGGGAUAAUUUCGGGAAACCGGAGCUAAUACCGGAUAAUAUUUUGAACCGCAUGGUUCAAAAGUGAAAGACGGUCUUGCUGUCACUUAUAGAUGGAUCCGCGCUGCAUUAGCUAGUUGGUAAGGUAACGGCUUACCAAGGCAACGAUGCAUAGCCGACCUGAGAGGGUGAUCGGCCACACUGGAACUGAGACACGGUCCAGACUCCUACGGGAGGCAGCAGUAGGGAAUCUUCCGCAAUGGGCGAAAGCCUGACGGAGCAACGCCGCGUGAGUGAUGAAGGUCUUCGGAUCGUAAAACUCUGUUAUUAGGGAAGAACAUAUGUGUAAGUAACUGUGCACAUCUUGACGGUACCUAAUCAGAAAGCCACGGCUAACUACGUG